rnacentral:rRNA from 1 species
CCAACAGGGAUUACCUCAGUAACGGCGAGUGAAGCGGAACAGCUCAAAUUUGAAAUUUGGCUCUUUUAGGGUCCGAGUUGUAAUUUGUAGAAGAUGCUUCGGGUGUGGCUCCGGUCUAAGUUCCUUGGAACAGGACGUCAUAGAGGGUGAGAAUCCCGUAUGUGACUGGUUGCCUUCGCCCAUGUGAAGCUCUUUCGACGAGUCGAGUUGUUUGGGAAUGCAGCUCUAAAUGGGAGGUAAAUUUCUUCUAAAGCUAAAUAUUGGCCAGAGACCGAUAGCGCACAAGUAGAGUGAUCGAAAGAUGAAAAGCACUUUGGAAAGAGAGUUAAACAGUACGUGAAAUUGUUGAAAGGGAAGCGCUU